UGCUAGUCGGAUAUUUUUUUAAUCUUACAGUUUUAAUCUAGAGUUGCUAAAAUUUGUAAUCUAUAUUACGCCGAUGCCAUGCCUUUAUGCAGGCCAAAAUCCCUUAACUCCUUUCCCAAUUCCCCAACCUAAUUUAUUUAACCUACGAUCUUAUUUCAAUAAACCAAAAGAAAACCACCAAAAAAAACAUCCAGCCCAUUCCUGUUUAAAUCCGACCCAUCUGCGUCUUCCUCUUCUCCAUUUUUCGCGCGUAAGAAUACCUUGGAAACAGGUGAAGCAGCGACACAACAAAUUCAAAGGAAAAUCACGUGUUAUUGUGUCUUCUCUAGCGUCCCCUCUCUUCAAGUUCGUACAAUAGCAGCAGCAUGCUAAUUGUCCUACUUGCGCGAGAGCACUCCACGUUUAGGCGCUAGAAUGGGAGAAUAAUCUUAGCUGCCCGCCCCCUUCUUUUGUAUAUAGGGAUGGGUACGCAUAUUCAGAAAAUCUUUUCCUCUCCAAUUUAGUGAAAGAUAUUUGAAUUUUCGAAGUGAUGGGCCAAAGAUCCGAUCCAAUUUUCAUCCUCUUUUCCCCAAUUUCCAAAACCCUUAUUGGGCUUUAUAUAUUGUAUUUUUCUUUUCACUGUGAGGGGGAUUUUGGUUUAAUCUAAAAAUUUCCUAGAGACAAAGGUCGUGAAAAUGUUAGGAUUAGUAUAAAAAACUAGCAGCUUGAAGAGACAGAACAUAGUUAGAAAAGUUUAGGGGGUCGUAUAGAGACCAAGAACCGCGUUCCAACCAUGGUUUGCACACGCCGGUCUCUGUUUUGCCCAUUCGUGUUUGUUGUUGCUAUUUUUUGUGGUCAUGGAAGCUCUCACUCCAUCAUUCGGUCUCGUCUCAGUCUCGCUGCACCGAAAAAGGUGUUACAGAGCUACAUGGAAGGUCGUGGCCGACAUGAAGUCCCACUAUCUUCACCCUUGUUUGUAUAAUUCCUAUUCAAGGCUAAGAUUAGUAAUUCCUUAUAUGAUUUGUAUGUAUAUUAUUGAACUUAACAUGUUUUCUUCUAAUACGUGCAUAUUGUACUACAAAUUAAUGCCCAAUGUUAUGUUUUCUUGAAACAUGUUUCUUAUGAUUAGCUUUCACUUAAGUAUGUAUUGUGCUAUAUUUAUUCAUAAAAUUGUAUUAAGCAUUCUUGAUGUUGUUGUGAUUAGAAAUCAUCAUGUAAAACUGUUGAUGUUCCAAUCAAAGAUCUCAUAUUGAAGUGGA